rnacentral:rRNA from 1 species
UACGUAGGGCGCAAGCGUUAUCCGGAAUUAUUGGGCGUAAAGAGCUCGUAGGCGGUUUGUCGCGUCUGCCGUGAAAGUCCGGGGCUUAACUCCGGUUCUGCAGUGGGUACGGGCAGACUAGAGUGAUGUAGGGGAGACUGGAAUUCCUGGUGUAGCGGUGAAAUGCGCAGAUAUCAGGAGGAACACCGAUGGCGAAGGCAGGUCUCUGGGCAUUAACUGACGCUGAGGAGCGAAAGCAUGGGGAGCGAACAGG